ensembl:misc_RNA Metazoa_SRP Metazoan signal recognition particle RNA
GCCAGGCGUGGUGGCACGUGCCUGUAGUCCCAACUACUUGGGAGGCUGAGGCUGGAGAAUCCCUUGAGUUCAGGAGUUCUGGGCUGUAGUGUGCUAUACUGAUCAGGUGUCCACACUAAGUUCGGCAUCAAUAUGGUGACCUCCAGGGAGCAGGGGCCACCAGGUUGCCUAAGGAGGGGUGAACCAGCCCAGUCGGAAACAGAGCAGGUUAAAACUCCCGUGCUGAUCAGUAGUGGGACUAUGCCUGUGAAUAGCCACUGCACUCCAGACUGGGCAACACAGUGAGACCCUGCGUCUU